rnacentral:rRNA from 1 species
AUACGGAGGAUCCGAGCGUUAUCCGGAUUUAUUGGGUUUAAAGGGUGCGCAGGCGGGAGAUUAAGUCGGCGGGGAAAUUUUGCAGCUCCACUGUAAAAGUGCCUUCGAAACUGGUUUCCUUGAGUGUAGAUGAAGUAGGCGGAAUUUGUGGUGUAGCGGUGAAAUGCAUAGAUAUCACGAGGAACUCCGAUUGCGCAGGCAGCUUACUAAACUACUACUGACGCUCAGGCACGAAGGCGUGGGGAUCAAACAGGAUUAGAUACCCUGGUAGUCCACGCAGUAAACGAUGAUUACUAGCUGUUUGCGAUACAAUGUAAGCGGCUGAGCGAAAGCGUUAAGUAAUCCACCUGGGGAGUACGUUCGCAAGAAUGAAACUCAAAUGAAUUGACGGGG